AACGAACGCUGGCGGCAUGCCUAACACAUGCAAGUCGAACGAGACCUUCGGGUCUAGUGGCGCACGGGUGCGUAACGCGUGGGAACCUGCCCUUAGGUUCGGAAUAACUCCCCGACAGGGGUGCUAAUACCGGAUAAUGUCUUCGGACCAAAGAUUUAUCGCCUUUGGAUGGGCCCGCGUUGGAUUAGCUAGUUGGUAGGGUAAAAGCCUACCAAGGCGACGAUCCAUAGCUGGUCUGAGAGGAUGAUCAGCCACACUGGGACUGAGACACGGCCCAGACUCCUACGGGAGGCAGCAGUGGGGAAUAUUGGACAAUGGGCGAGAGCCUGAUCCAGCAAUGCCGCGUGAGUGAUGAAGGCCUUAGGGUUGUAAAGCUCUUUUACCCGGGAUGAUAAUGACAGUACCGGGAGAAUAAGCUCCGGCUAACUCCGUG
rnacentral:rRNA from 1 species